UCUUGUUACGCUCCCCCACGCCAUCUGGAAGACAGACUAAACAGCUUUGGCACUAGUUUUAUAGUCCGAGGCGACUUCAACGCCAAGCACACCUGGUGGGACUUCAGACUCAACAAUUCCAAUAGUUCCAGGGGAAUCAACACCAGCCUCAUCCACACCCAAUCCGAGUUCGACUUGAUGUCUGAUCACUGUGCGCGCAAUGUCUGCAACACAUUUUAAUUUUCACUUAAUAAUUUUCAUUUUAAUAAUCACUAUGCGAUGCCAAUGCCAAUCCUCUGACAAUGCAAGCCAAUAACUAACUUGUUUUACCCAGCCACUUUUCAGUCAUGUCUGCUACUACACAUAUUUAGAUAAGCAGUAGGCGCCACACUUAUUGUAUAAUGUGCCAUUUCAAAUACAACUCUCUCAUUUGAGAGACUGCCAGUUUUGUUCGCAUUGUCGAACACAACACUAAACAAAUCACAUCAGAAAAAAAAUCAGAAAAAUUAAGGAAAAAAAAGCAAUUUUCAAAUUUCAAUGGUCGAAAUUUGGAGGCCUAACCAGUGACGCUGCCCCAUACGAUGGCCGUGACGUCACUCCAACUUCAAGAAGUCAGCAGCCAUCUCCAACGACGAGGCCAGCCGCUACAACGACACUGGCCAACGAGCCAAAGCCAAUACCAUCGACAAUGCAUCCUGGGUGGCCGGACCAACAGCCACUCGGAUGCAGCCAAUUCCAAUUAAUAGGAAACCUACUUAAAUUAUAAUGACUUAAUGGUUCUGCUAAAUCUGCCUUUCCGUCUCUACGACCGUGGCAGACGAGCGUAAUGGAAACGGAAGGAGGACGAAGGACGAAGCCGCAUAGAAGAAACGCCUGAGCCAUUGUUUCUUUUAUUAUUUUUUUCCACUUUUUGCUUUAUUAAAAAAAAUUCACUUUCUGCUUAAUCUCUAGUAAAAAGAAUUCCGAAAUAAUAUUUUUCAAAAUUUAGAAUUUUUUUUA